UGGUGGAGUGAUUUGUCUGGUUAAUUCCGUUAACGAACGAGACCUCAGCCUGCUAAAUAGCUACGCUUACGUUUUCGUAGGCGGCCAGCUUCUUAGAGGGACUGUUGGCGUCUAGCCAACGGAAGUUUGAGGCAAUAACA
rnacentral:rRNA from 1 species